GACGAACGCUGGCGGCGUGCCUAAUACAUGCAAGUCGAGCGCAGGAAACUGACGGAACUCUUCGGAGGGAAGGCAGUGGAAUGAGCGGCGGACGGGUGAGUAACACGUAAGGAACCUGCCUCAAGGAUUGGGAUAACUCCGAGAAAUCGGAGCUAAUACCGGAUAGUUCAACGGACCGCAUGGUCCGCUGAUGAAAGGCGCUCCGGCGUCACCUUGAGAUGGCCUUGCGGUGCAUUAGCUAGUUGGUGGGGUAACGGCCCACCAAGGCGACGAUGCAUAGCCGACCUGAGAGGGUGAUCGGCCACACUGGGACUGAGACACGGCCCAGACUCCUACGGGAGGCAGCAGUAGGGAAUCUUCCACAAUGGACGAAAGUCUGAUGGAGCAACGCCGCGUGAGUGAUGAAGGUUUUCGGAUCGUAAAACUCUGUUGUAAGGGAAGAACACGUACGAGAGGGAAUGCUCGUACCUUGACGGUACCUUACGAGAAAGCCACGGCUAACUACGUGCCAGCCGCCGCCGUAACAC
rnacentral:rRNA from 1 species